CUAGAAUAGGCUCCAGCACUUCCUGUGAACCUCGUGAGGAUAAGCGAGUAAGAAAAUGAAUGGGUGGAUGGAUGAUUUUCAGAAGUUCAAACAUUCAAUUUAACCAAGCCCAGUGAAAAGCAAAAGCUCGUUCAACCUGGCUCUGGGCUCUGUCAGGAGCAGCUGGUCAGCUGACCUGAGAGAGCAGCUGGAAAUGUAGGGUUGCAAUUGCUCAGAGAGAAUGGAUGCAGGACCUGGCAUUUGUGGAUGAUGCUACAGAGCACCUGAAUAACUUCAACAGCUGCUAGGGCGCAGCUAAAUUGUUAUGCAGUAUUUUGACAGUAUAUGCUCUUCUUUCACUUGUUUAGGGAACGUGAUUAUGUUAUUUUUGUACAUAUUUCUGC